rnacentral:tRNA from 1 species
AGUAAAAUGGCCGAAUUGUAAGCGGUGAAUUGUAAAUUCUCUCAUGAUUAAUUCUUUUACUG